rnacentral:rRNA from 1 species
GCCUAACACAUGCAAGUCGAACGAGAACGUGGGGGCAACUCCACUAGUAAAGUGGCAGACGGGUGAGUAACACGUGAACAAUCUACCCUCGAGUGGGGAAUAACACCGCGAAAGCGGUGCUAAUACCGCAUAACAUCUCCGGGUCGCAUGGCCUGGAGAUCAAAAGCGAAAGUUGCUUGAGGAGGAGUUCUGCGCCUGAUUAGCUAGUUGGUGAGGUAACGGCUCACCAAGGCAACGAUCAGUAGCCGGCCUGAGAGGGCGAACGGCCACACUGGAACUGAGACACGGUCCAGACUCCUACGGGAGGCAGCAGUGGGGAAUUUNGCGCAAUGGGCGAAAGCCUGACGCAGCAAACGCCGCGU